rnacentral:snRNA from 1 species
GAGCUCUCAUGGGCAGCACAGACACUAAGAGCGGAGCGACCGAGAUUAGCAUAGGCCCUGAGCAAGGAUGACAUGCAAAUUCGAAGUGUUCCAUAUUCUC